UUUUAAAUAGUAGUAUUUAAGAGAGUUGGAUGCGUUCAUUGAUUUAUUUAUUUUUGUUACUAGUAUGUUCUGGGUAUUGCUGUCAACUGUAUUCAGUUAUUACACUCUACUUGUAAAUGCUGUCGGGCUGGUAUUGGAUGCUGCAUUUCAUUUUAUAUAUGUGGCGUGCAUGCUGCUGUUUCCCAUACUGGUCGAGAGUGGUGAACACUGAGAUUUGUGCAGCACACUGCAUAUAUUGUUGACAGUUAAUACUGACGGUGAACACUGAAAAUACCUAUAGGCUGCAGUGUUUUGUGCUAAACGCGAGGCUGCAGCAACUUUCCGUUGGGUCUGGUAUGCAGUACAAGAAACUGUAAAAUGAGUGCUAUGUGCUCGUGGUCCUGUUGAUCACUGUUUUCCCUACCUUUAUUUAUUUUUUUGGUAUAGUUUGUUUAUUGGCUUGGAAGCUGAUUAUUUAUUGUUAUUUUUGUUUGAUUUAUUUGCUAUCGGCCCAUAGUUACCUUGUCUCCUUACUGAUUUAGAGCGCUCUUAACAAAAGUAGGACAAAUACUACAUCAGGU